UACGUAGGGUGCAAGCGUUGUCCGGAAUUAUUGGGGCGUAAAGAGCUCGUAGGCGGCUUGUCACGUCUGCUGUGAAAACUCGGGGCUCAACCCCGAGCCUGCAGUGGAUACGGGCUAGCUAGAGUGCGGUAGGGGAGACUGGAAUUCCUGGUGUAGCGGUGAAAUGCGCAGAUAUCAGAGGAACACCGGUGGCGAAGGCGGGUCUCUGGACCGAUACUGACGUGAGGAGCGAAAGCGUGGGGAGCGAACAGG
rnacentral:rRNA from 1 species